rnacentral:lncRNA from 1 species
AUGAGGGGCAAACUGUACAUUCAUUUCAGUGUUGACUUCCCUGAGUCACUGAGCCCAGACCAGUGCAAGAUGCUGGAGACCGUACUACCUCCAAGGACCUCAGUCCAGCUCACCGAUAUGGAACUGGAUGAGUGUGAAGAAACAACCCUGCAUGAUGUGAACAUUGAGGAGGAAAUGCGAAGGAAGCAACAAGCAGCUCAGGAGGCAUACGAUGAAGAUGACGAUAUGCAAGGUGGUGCCCAGAGAGUGCAGUGUGCUCAGCAGUGAUGAUGUAGAAGAAAAGGGGUGGCCUGAUUUAGUAUUUUCAUUGUUUGGGAGAAAAAGAUUCUCAACAUAUUUAUUUUCUGUUAUAGGCUUCAGAGGUUCUAGUUUUGGUUUGUCUGUCUUUAUUCUUAUGUUUUUCUGAUAACUGACUAUGUAAUGGAAUUCUAGCGGUUGCACCUUCAGACUCAAUGCUCAUAAUUAAUAUUUU